GGAUCAUUACCGAGUUUACAACUCCCAAACCCCUGUGAACAUACCACUUGUUGCCUCGGCGGAUCAGCCCGCUCCCGGUAAAACGGGACGGCCCGCCAGAGGACCCCUAAACUCUGUUUCUAUAUGUAACUUCUGAGUAAAACCAUAAAUAAAUCAAAACUUUCAACAACGGAUCUCUUGGUUCUGGCAUCGAUGAAGAACGCAGCAAAAUGCGAUAAGUAAUGUGAAUUGCAGAAUUCAGUGAAUCAUCGAAUCUUUGAACGCACAUUGCGCCCGCCAGUAUUCUGGCGGGCAUGCCUGUUCGAGCGUCAUUUCAACCCUCAAGCACAGCUUGGUGUUGGGACUCGCGUUAAUUCGCGUUCCUCAAAUUGAUUGGCGGUCACGUCGAGCUUCCAUAGCGUAGUAGUAAAACCCUCGUUACUGGUAAUCGUCGCGGCCACGCCGUUAAACCCCAACUUCUGAAUGUUGACCUCGGAUCAGGUAGGAAUACCCGCUGAACUUAAGCAUAUCAAUAAGCCG
rnacentral:rRNA from 1 species